AACGAACGCUGGCGGCAUGCCUAACACAUGCAAGUCGAACGAGACCUUCGGGUCUAGUGGCGCACGGGUGCGUAACGCGUGGGAACCUGCCCUUAGGUUCGGAAUAACUACCCGAAAGGGGUGCUAAUACCGGAUAAUCUCUUCGGACCAAAGAUUUAUCGCCUUUGGAUGGGCCCGCGUUAGAUUAGCUAGUUGGUAGGGUAAAAGCCUACCAAGGGUACGAUCCAUAGCUGGUCUGAGAGGAUGAUCAGCCACACUGGGACUGAGACACGGCCCAGAAUCCUACGGGAGGCAGCAGUGGGGAAUAGUGGACAAUGGGCGAAAGCCUGAUCCAGCACUGCCGCGUGAGUGAUGUAGGCAUUAGGGUUGUAAAGCUCUUUUACCCGGGAUGAUAAUGACAGUACCGGGAGAAUAAGCUCCGGCUAACUCCGUG
rnacentral:rRNA from 1 species